AGAGUUUGAUCCUGGCUCAGAACAAACGCUGGCGGCGUGUCUUAAGCAUGCAAGUCGAGCGGCAGGCGCAGCAAUGCGCUGAGAGCGGCGGACUGGUGAGUAACGCGUGGGUAAUCUACCUUUGGCAUGGGGAUAGCCACUAGAAAUAGUGGGUAAUACUGAAUACGUUCCCUGGGGGGAGAUUUCAGGGAAGAAAGGGUGCUACGGCACCGGCCGGAGAUGAGCUCGCGUCCCAUUAGCUAGUUGGUGAGGUAACGGCCCACCAAGGCAACGAUGGUUAGCUGGUCUGAGAGGAUGAUCAGCCACACUGGAACUGAAACACGGUCCAGACUCCUACGGGAGGCAGCAGUGAGGAAUUUUGCGCAAUGGGGGAAACCCUGACGCAGCAACGCCGCGUGAGUGAAGAAGGCUUUCGGGUCGUAAAGCUCUGUCAAGAGGGAAGAAUGUAGGAGAUGGUAAUACUAUUUUCUAUUGACGGUACCUCUGAAGGAAGCACCGGCUAACUCCGUGCCAGCAGCC
rnacentral:rRNA from 1 species